UACGGAGGGUGCAAGCGUUAUCCGGAUUCACUGGGCUUAAAGGGCGCGUAGGCGGGUUGGUAAGUCAGUGGUGAAAUCCCCGAGCUUAACUUGGGAACUGCCAUUGAUACUAUCAGUCUUGAAUACCGUGGAGGUCAGCGGAAUAUGUCAUGUAGCGGUGAAAUGCUUAGAUAUGACAUAGAACACCAAUUGCGAAGGCAGCUGGCUACACGGAUAUUGACACUGAGGCACGAAAGCGUGGGGAUCAAACAGG
rnacentral:rRNA from 1 species